GGGGUUGUGGCUCAGCGGUAGAGCGCUCGCCUAGCAUGUGUGAGGCCCUGGGUUAGCUCCUCAGCACCACG
rnacentral:tRNA from 1 species